AAGGGUAUCGCUCAAUUGGUAGAGCGCAUGCUCAGCACGCAUGAGGUCUCGGGUUCAAUCCCCAGUACCUCCU
rfam:Camelus ferus unplaced genomic scaffold scaffold877, whole genome shotgun sequence.